rnacentral:rRNA from 1 species
GACAGAGGUCCCGAGCGUUAGACGGAAUCACUGGGCUUAAAGCGUGUGUAGGCGGAAGGGUAAGUACCUUGUGAAAUCCCACGGCUCAACCGUGGAACUGCUUGGCAUACUGGCGGUCUUGAGCAACCUAGGGGCGAGCGGAACAAAUGGUGGAGCGGUGAAAUGCGUAGAUAUCAUUUGGAACGCCAAUGGUGAAAACAGCUCGCUGGGGGUUUGCUGACGCUGAGACACGAAAGCCAGGGGAGCAAACGGG